AUACAACUGACGAGUCCCAUGUAGGACGAAACAUGGGUCCUGGAU
rfam:Schistosoma mattheei strain Denwood, Zambia genome assembly, scaffold: SMTD_scaffold0000048